rnacentral:miRNA from 1 species
GGCGGCCCCGGCGCUGGUGGCGGCGGCGGUGGCGGGGGCAGAGCC